CACGUAGGGUGCGAGCGUUGUCCGGAAUUAUUGGGCGUAAAGAGCUCGUAGGCGGUGUGUCGCGUCGGCCGUGAAAACCUGCAGCUUAACUGUGGGCGUGCGGUCGAUACGGGCAUCACUGGAGUCGGCAGGGGAGACUGGAAUUCCUGGUGUAGCGGUGAAAUGCGCAGAUAUCAGGAGGAACACCGGUGGGCGAAGGCGGGGUC
rnacentral:rRNA from 1 species